CAAUAUCUUCAGGGCAGGGUGCAAUUCCCUACCGGUGGUACAGCCCACGAGCCGCGAGGCAUGAUUCGGUGAAACUCCGAAGCCGACAGUAAAGUCUGGAUGAAAGAAGAUAGGA
rfam:Clostridium sp. FS41 CLFS41_contig000062, whole genome shotgun sequence.